GGGGCUGUAGCCCAGUGGCAGAGUGCUCACCUAGCAUGUGUGAGGUACUGGGUUCGAUCCUCAGCACCACA
rnacentral:tRNA from 1 species